GUUCCUGUGGGGGCGGGGUGGCAGCUGAGCUCUGCAGCUCAAGCUUGUGUCCAGGACAGAGACGUCAUUGAGUUACUGAGAGCCGACGUUCUUUUUCCCCCAGACAGAACGGGAGGACAUGAGAUUCUUUUCUGGAGCUGAAAACAUCCCCAGGCUCUUCUCCUGUGUGGCUCUCUGCCUCCUGUGGACAGGACAUGCGGAGGCCUGGAUCACUCAGAGCCCAAGAUACGAGAUCACGGUGACAGGGGAGACAGUGGCUCUGCAGUGUUACCAGACUUAUAACCAUGACUGUGUGUACUGGUACCAGCAAGACCAGGGACACGGGCUGCGGCUGAUCUUUUAUACCUGUGAUGUUGGCAUCCUUAACAAAGAAGAAGUCCCUAAUGGGUACAAUGUCUCGAGACCAAGCAUGGAGGAUUUCUCCCUGAUCCUAGAGUCUGUUGUCCCCUCCCGGACAUCUGUGUACUUGUGUGCCAGCAGUAACUCCACAGUGCUGCACAGCUGCUUCCUCUGUGCACAUAAAGGGGACUUAGAAAGAGUGAGGAUUGCCUGCCCUUGUCGGGUCUCGCCCAAACCCCAGCCCCUGCCUCCAGAAGAGUCACAGAGCAUAGCUUCCUGAUUCUCUCUUCUGGGUUCUCUGCUUGCAGAGAUGUUGCCCCUAUUAGGGCAUCUUUGGCAACUGAUGCAAAGGAUGUCUCUAUUUUUUUUUUCCAGGGCCACGUCCAUGUCAUAUGGAGGUUCCCAGGCUAGGGGUCCAAUCAGAGCUAGAGCUGCCGGCCUACACCACAGCCACAGCAACUUGGGAUCUGAGUCAAGUCUCCCAGAACCCCCUCCUUCCCUCCCUUGAGCAGUAAGAUGCCCUGUUCCUACCUUCCAUGGAAUUUGUCUUGGAUUUAUUCAGUUAUGCUGCUCAGGAAGCAGGUGAGGCCCAGGAGCACAGGGAGAAGAUUUCUUCCUGGAAUUGACAUAGCAUUUUGUAUGUAGCCCAAGAGGCCCUGUCUCCAGCCAUUCAGUCCCCACCCCCACCCUGAACGCUGCUGCCACUCAGAACCUGUAACCUCGGGGCACAAGGAGGGGCAGGUAGUGACAGUUUCAUGUGAAGAAGAUUGCCAUUGUGGAAUAGUAACUGGUGCCAACAUAAGCCGGCCUCAGACCAGCAGCUUUUCUAUCUCAGUAACAGAGAAUUUUCAAGAAAAAUAGAUGGUUCUGGGAACUCUGCAUCUUUGGGUCUUAACUUGAUAACCCUGGCAUGUAAGCCCUAAGUUUGGGAGACUCAGCAGAGUAUCUCUGAGAACAUGACUCUGCAGUUUUCACCUCUCUGACACACAUUUCCUUGGUUUUUUUUUUGUUAUUGUUGUUGUUUCAUACCAACUCUCAGGGCCUUCUCCAAUCCCCUAACCUUUUCUCCCUCACUACUCAGAAAUAAAAGGAAGUGGUUCAUAACGAAUGUUGCCCCAUUAAAAAAACAGUCAGAUACUAACCACUGAUUUCAGUUGCAUGUUAUGCUAUGUUUUUUGGAAGAUUCCAGACAGUCUGUUCAAUUUUGCAUUUCUUGCUACUGUAUCCAUCCUGGAAUUUUUCAGGCAUAAGGGAGUUCACCACCUUCCCAGACAAAAGAUAUUACAUUGCUGACCUUGAAGUACAGGCAGCACGACCAUGAAGGUUUUGGUACAUAAGGCAUCAUGGAGAUUCAUGCAAGUAAAGAGGAAACUGGUCUUUGACCUACAGAUGAAAUAAAAGCGUCCAACUCAGAUCUACACUCGGGGCAUCAUUUUUUUCCCCUUUACUUUCAAAUCUGUCCACUAGUUCAAUGAGCUUCUAGAGAAACGUGGUGGCAAUUACCCCAGCGUCCCCCUCGUCCAAUUUCAUGUGCCUGGGGAAAUAGAGCACCUGGUAAAAGCGACAACUCAAAGAGGAGGAGCUGCCUUGUGGGGACAAGGGACACAACACCGCUCCUGUUCUGCACACGCUUACAAGGACCUGAGCUGGUGAACUUCCCAUUGCUGCUCUGGCUCCGCCAUGGGCACCAGGCUCCUCUGCUGGGCGACCCUCUGCCUCCUGGGGGCAGGUGCGUUCUGAGAACACCAAGCUCUCUGCCUUGGACUUUUCCAGUGGUGAUUUCCAUCUCCUUUCCCAGAAUUUUUCAAAUUCUGUGUUUUCCUCCGACAGAACUCACAGAAGGGGGAGUCGUCCAAUCCCCCAGAUACAAGAUCACAGAGGAAAGACAGACUGUGGCUUUGUGGUGUGAUCCUAUUUCUGGCCACAAUCUCCUUUCCUGGUACCGGCAGACCCUGAGAGCUGGCCUGGAGCUGCUGAUUUACUUUGAGGAAGAGGCUGACAUAAAUGUUUCUCAGUUGCCCCAGAAGCGAUAUUUUGCAGAGAGGCCCGAAGGAGCCAAGUCUACACUCAGGAUCCAGCCCACAGAGCUGGGGGACUCGGCUGUGUAUGUCUGUGCCAGUAGAUUAGUCACAGCCUUACAGAGACCCUUCCUUCCCGUGCACAAACGUCGUGAUGCUCCCCGUCCAUGUAGCUCGAGACAGAGGCCUCCUCUCAUCAUGCAAGGGGAAGAACUGGCUGUGCAGAGACAAGCUCUGAUGUAUAUACAGGGGAGGGCAUACAUUAUUUCUGGAAGUGUGAGGGCUGAUAUUGUUGUUUGCAAAUAAUUAUGAUUCAGGGAUUAGAAACUUCCUGGUGACAACUCAAAAAUCCAAGACAGAACCUUCUUGUGGCAGACUCAAGCCUUGGGGGCUAGCGACAGUGGUUCUCCUAGAAAAAUAUAUAAUCACAAAACAUGUACAUUAAACUUUAAUAAUACAGAUGGUGGAGUUCCCAUUGUGGCUCAGAGGAAAUGAAUCUGACUGGUAUCCAUGAGGAUGCGGAUUUGAUCCCUGGCCCUGCUCAGUGGGGUUGUUGGGGUCGGGGGGGAUCCAGUGUUGCGGUGAGCUGUGGUGUUGGUCCCAGACUCGGCUCAGAUCCCAAGUUGUGAGGCUGUGGUGUAGGCUGGCAGCUCUAGCUCUGAUUGGACCCCUAGCCUGGGAACUUCCAUAUGCCAUGGGCAUGGCCCUGGAAAAAAAAAGUUUUUUAAAAAAAAAAAAACCCAAAAAAACCCAGACAGUGAUUCUAGGAGCAUAGCAAACAGGCUCUCCCGUCUGAAUGAUUCAAGUUGAUGGCCUUCUCACUCUAGCUUCUCCUCAGCUUUUACUUGGAUGUUUUCUACAUCAAAGUCUCAACAGUGGGUAUAUGUUUAGGAAAUAUUGUUUCCAGUUCUUAUGGAAAUGUGUUGAUAAUGAUGAUGCUGCUGAUAAUCUCAGCUAUUUUAUUCAGCCCUUUUCCAGCUUCGAAGAGAUAUGUGCAAAUGCGUAUCCUGGCAACCAGUCUCAAACCUUAGCUCAGACUGAAUUCUUACUCUGGAGUGAUCGAACUCUUUACCGCAACCAUCGCAGCUUGGCACUGUAUGUAAGCUUGAGCCAUUCCGUUCAGAGGCUGUUGAGGACAUUUCCCGCUCUCUGCCUUAGUACAUUCGAGCAUUCCUUAGGACAUUAAAAUACUCCUUAGUGCAUUAAAAUAUUCCUUGGUAAGAACUUCGCAAACAGUCAAUUGGCCUGAUCCACUUGCCCCCUAGGAUAAUAUACUCUUUGUUGUGAGGUUUGUAUCCUGUCCUCUAACUUCUGCCUGGGCUUGCUAUCAUCUCUGAUAAUUCUAGAGAUCAUUCUGAGGCGUUGGUUGGAAGUAUUUGGAAAGCAGUUCACUGAGAUUCUCUUGAAGGCGCAGUCACAGCCCCUCAGCCUCGACUGGCUUCACUUCUCUGCCUACCCAGACUGCAUGCCAUAAUAUAUUCCAUUCGAUGCCUGCCUCCUUGACUCUUCUGCUCACAUCUCUGCCCAGCUUACUUGUCUGAUAAAACUUCACUGAUGUGCUGUAUAGCAGAAAUUAGCAUUACCUUAUAAAUCAACUAUGGUUUAAA